AGCGAACGUUUGCGGCGGGCUUAACACAUGCAAGUCGAACGGGCUGUUCCUUCGGGGGCAGUCAGUGGCGCACGGGUGCGUAACACGUAGGUAAUCAACCCUCUGGUUGGGGAUAACACUUCGAAAGGAGUGCUAAUACCCGGUAUGGCGCAGCGGUCUUCGGAUCGCGGCGAGAAAGACCCGCAAGGGUUGCCAGAGGACGAGCCUGCGGCCCAUCAGCUAGUUGGCGAGGUAACGGCUCACCAAGGCGAAGACGGGUAGCUGGUCUGAGAGGAUGAUCAGCCACACUGGAACUGAGACACGGUCCAGACUCCUACGGGAGACAGCAGUGGGGAAUAUUGCGCAAUGGGCGAAAGCCUGACGCAGCCACGCCGCGUGAGCGAUGAAGGCC
rnacentral:rRNA from 1 species